rnacentral:rRNA from 1 species
GCAUAGCUGUAAACACCGGCAUCUUAAAAUAACUGAUGCCCGCCAGGGUACUACAAGCGUUAGCUUCAAACCCAAAGGACUUGGCGGUGCUUUAGACCCACCUAGAGGAGCCUGUUCUAGAACUGAUAACCCCCGUUAAACCUCACCCUUUCUUGUCUAACCCGCCUAUAUACCGCCGUCGUCAGCUCACCCCAUGAGGGCUUAAUAGUGAGCAAAAUUGGUAGAACCCUAAACGUCAGGUCGAGGUGUAGUAAAUGAAGGGGGAAGAAAUGGGCUACAUUCGUCUACUGACGAAUAACGAAGGGUUUAUUGAAAUAUAAACCUAAAGGAGGAUUUAGCAGUAAGAAGAAAAUAGAGUGUUCUUCUGAAACUGGCCCUGAAGCGCG